UAGGGAAUCUUCCGCAAUGGACGAAAGUCUGACGGAGCAACGCCGCGUGAGUGAUGAAGGUUUUCGGAUCGUAAAACUCUGUUGUUAGGGAAGAACAAGUUGGGUAGUAACUGACCCAACCUUGACGGUACCUAACGAGGAAGCCACGGCUAACUACGUGCCAGCAGCCGCGGUAAUACGUAGGUGGCAAGCGUUGUCCGGAAUUAUUGGGCGUAAAGCGCUCGCAGGCGGUCUUUUAAGUCUGAUGUGAAAGCCCACGGCUUAACCGUGGAGGGUCAUUGGAAACUGGAGGACUUGAGUACAGAAGAGGAGAGUGGAAUUCCACGUGUAGCGGUGAAAUGCGUAGAGAUGUGGAGGAACACCAGUGGCGAAGGCGACUCUCUGGUCUGUAACUGACGCUGAGGAGCGAAAGCGUGGGUAGCGAACAGG
rnacentral:rRNA from 1 species